AGAGGCCUCUCAUUAGUUGGGCUGCUUCCAGAAGUGGGAGACUACCAGAAACCUCCCUCCUUGGAGUCUCCCCAAGGCUCGGCGGAACAGGAGUGUGGCAGGAAGGGGGAGUCCUAGGAACUGGUCCCAUGGUAUGGGCGGAGGUCUCCCAGGCCACAGAGGAGAAGAGGGAGGAGGUGUGUCCUAUGUGACUCUGGCAGGAAGGAUCAGGGAGCCCUUCUGAGACAGCGCUUCUGAAAUCGGGCUGGCUGGAACUUUCUGUCAGAAAAUCGGAAUGACUGAAAAAACUCGGCUACUAUGAUAGAGGCCAGAGGGUGGGAAAGAGGAAAGUGAGUUGGGGUAGCGGGAAUCCUAGGUUCCACAGGCAUGGUUUACAGGUACAAUACAUUGUUGGUAACAUGAUGGCUCGGGGACAAACAAGCCUGUCUCCAAGCCGUGCAGGUGCAUUGAGAGGAUGUAGAAAUUCUGGAUUCAUAUCGGGCCCGUCUGCAUUUCUGCCCUCCUCCACCCAGCAUUGAGGGGAGGGCAGGGUAGAACUAAAGCAAAUGUUCUUUUCAAUCCCUGAAUAGGGGCUUGCGUACCUCAGAGGAAGACAGAACACGCACAUUUCUCUGCGUUUGUCUUUGUCUCAUCCUUAGUCUCUAGACCAUUAGCCCCUGUUGCCAUGGGAACUGAAGCUGAGUGUCUGAUGCAUUCAUUGGGCUGUGGGAGAAAAGCAGAGUUGGUCCUUGAAAUAAAGGCCCCUGGGAGAGGGGAUUCUAGCAAGGCAGUCACAUCGAAAGAAUUCACAAUUCCCACAGAGCAGGGUGGGACUCCUCUCAUGGUGUCCUGCCCUCCACACCCCAAAGUGUGAGUUCUCAUGAAGUCCAACCGGAUGCCCAUUCCCUGCAACCGGAGCACCCAACAGACCAAAGAGCACGAGGGGCUUUACCCCAUAAAGACAAAGAAACUGGCUGAGGAGACAAAAGAAAGAAAGUAGCAGAAGCUGGUAAGGAAACAGAGACAGGGUCUCACUUGUGUUGCCAAGAGAGCUUGAGCAUCAACUGGCAGUGAGGACAGCCGGAAAGCAACCGACUUACCCCUCUCACCAGACCUUCCAACUGUCUGCCACACUGGCAUUGCCGUGUAUCCCUGCAUCUUGUUGAUCCCAUUGUGGCAUUGUGGUCAGAGAAUAUACAACUCGCUGAAGAAUCCAUUGUUUAUGGACAUUCCUGGGAUUGUAUUCAUUUAAAUAUCUUUAUGUACAUUGUAGUGGAAUAUAAUACAAAAAUGGAGUUGCAUGAAAAAUGAAGGUACCGCUCAGUAAAUGGUUCCACAGGGACAUCUGAUCCCCUACGAUCUGGGUUAAGAAAUGGUGUACUGUAUUGCUGGCAGCUCAAAAGCACUCUCAUGCCAGUCACUCUUGUCUUCCACCUCGGCCAAUCUAACCACUCUUGUGACUUUUAACACUUGAAGAUAAUCCCGCCUGUUUGUGAACGCAUUACACGUACGUAGAAUCAGUACAGUACAUAUUUUACAGUACAUAUUUUAUAAUCUGGGUUUCUCUUGGUUUUUCAGUAAGGUUUUUCUCCUUACUAUUGACUUCUGUCGUGCUGUGUAGCUGAAUUUCGUUUCUUUGCCUUCCUGCGCAGUAUUUUGAAUUGUAUGACAAUGCCACAAUUUAUUCGUGCCUUUUAUUGCUAAUGGACUCUUCAGUAGUUUCCAGCGCUGGAGUGUUAGUGUCAUUAUUGUGGUGCACGUUCACAAGGAUGUCCUUUGGUUGACAUGCUUAUGCAUUUAAGGCUGUGCUUGCAGGACUGCUUUGAUUACUUUUUCUUCCUUCAUGGCACUGUAAGUGGUGACAGUGGAUGUAGCGGUUUGUAUUUAUUUAUUUAUUUAUUUAUUUAUUUAUUUAUUUUUCCCUGAUCUCAGAGGGAAAGCUGUCAACAUGUCACCAGUAAGUAUCGUUGUUUUCGGAGGCUUUUAAAAAAUAUUCCAACUGAAUCAAGAGCGUUUCCUUUUAUUUGCAGUUGGCUAAGAGGUUUUAUCAUAAGUGCGUGGUCAUUUUAAAAAAUCAAACCCAUGAAAUACCCUUCCUGCAUCUGUAGGGAAUAUCCUAUUUUUUCUCUUUCACACAUUACUUCUGAGAGAUAGAUUUUUCAAGCGCUGAACCGCUUCAUUUCUAGAAUACUCGACUUGUUUGUGAUACGUUUUCAUUUUUGGAGAUUUAACUGAUUUGUUUUGCUAAUGCUUUAUCCAAGAUUUCUUCUUCUGUGCUUAUGUGAAAGAUAGGCCUGUGCAUUUCAUUUCUUACCAUGCCCUUUAAGGUUUUUGCCUCAUAAAAUGGGAUGGGAAGCAUUUCCCCUUUUUUAUGUUACCUGGCAAGAAGGUAAGAUUGACAUUCUUUCCUUCACAAAUGUUUUGUAGAAUUAAUCGGUGGCGGCAUCAGAGUCUGUAGGUUCUUGUGGCUGCUGCUGUUGUUUCCUUCAGAUUCCGCCCGUUUAGAAUUUGUAGGACAAUUCAGAUGUUUAGUCUGUUUUCUGUCAUUUUGCUAUCCAAAGUAUCACAUUUGUGGGCAUAAAGCUGUUCAUGAUUUUGAAUAAUGAUCUCUUUAAUAUCUUCGUUGCCCAUAGUGAUGUUUUCUUAGCCACUCCAGACACUGGUUGCUUCAUUAUUUCUCUCCUUUUUGUUCAGGCCCACACAAGGCAUGUCUUAAUCACAUCAUCUUUACAAAAAGCCACCUCUGGCUGUGUUGUUUUAUCUUUAACUGAUUUGUACUUUUAUUGUUAUUUCAUUUCUUCUGCUUUCUUCAGGUUUAAUCUGUUGCUCAGCAUGGUUGGGAAAGAUGCAAAUGUUGUGUCUUUCUUUUUCAUGCAAUCUAGACAAUUAAAAUAUAUCCCAUAAGUUUUCAUCAGGUUCAAAAUACUUUGUGAUUUCAUUGGUGAUGUUUUCCUUGAGCUACGCGUUAUUUAGAAAACAGGAAAUUAAAAGGAUGCCUUUUCUAAAGAUAAAAUGAAGUGAAAUAAAAAGGAUGCCUUUUUUAUUUCAUUUUCUUGCCUAAUUGCCCUCCGAACUUCCGGGACUAUGUUGAGAAGAAGUAGCAAAAGCGGGCAUCUCUGCCUUGCUCCUGAUCUUGGAGGAAAAGCUUUCACUCUUUCGGCAUCUAGUACAGUGUUCACAGUGAGUAUUUUAUAUAGGACUUUUGUAACGCUGAGGUUGUUUCCUUCUGUCCCAAGGAGUUUGAGUGUUUUUGUCACGAAGGGAGCUGACUUUUGUCAGAUGCUUUUAGUGCAUCAAUUGAGCCGAUCAUGUGGUUUUGUCCUUCAUUUUGUUGAUACCGUACACUAAAUUAGUUGAUUUUCAUUGAUCGAAACUUCCUUGCAUUCCACGAAUAAAUCCCACGUGGUCAUGGGCCUUUCAUGUGCUGUCGAACUCGGUGUGCUAGGCUUUUGUUGAAUAUGUAUGCAUAAACAUUCUUUUGGGAAGUGUGUGUGUGUGUGUGGGGGGGUGUGUGUGUGUGUGUCCGUAUGUUUCUGGUCCUAAUUCUUCUUUAAAUGUUUAGUAGAAUUCUCCACUGAAGCCAUCUAGUCCUGGGGUUUUCUAUGUUGGGAGGUUGAUGAAUACUGGUUAAGUCUCCUUACGAGUUGUCGAGAUCUGCUGAGAUUUUUUACUUCUUCAGGAGUCAGUCUUGGCAGCGUGUAUGUUUCUCAGAAUUUAUCUAUUUCUUCUAGAGUAUCAAAUUUGUUGGGGUAGAGUUGUUCCUGGUCUUCUCUUUAUAAUCUUUUUUGUUUCUGUUGUAUCAAUUGUAAUGCCCCUCCGUCGUUCUGAGUUUAGUUAUUUGACCCUUCUGUUUUCCUCUUAAUCUGCUUAACCUAUGUUGACCUUUUCAGAGACACCAGCUCUUAGUUUCACUGUUUUUUUUUUUCCCUAUUAUUUGUCUAUUCUCCAUUUCCUUUAUUUGUGCUCUAAUCUUUAUUACUUCCUUCCUUCUGCUAACUUUGGGUUUACGUUGUUCUUCCUUUUCUAGUUCUCGAAACAUAAAGACAGGCUGUUGAUUUGAGGUCUGUCUUCUUUUUCACUGUAAGCAUUUACCACAAUAAACUUCCCUCUUAACACUA